GGGGUGCUCGAGUGACGAACGGGUGAGUAACACGUGAGUAACCUGCCCUUGACUUUGGGAUAACUUCAGGAAACUGGGGCUAAUACCGGAUAGGAGCUCCUGCUGCAUGGUGGGGGUUGGAAAGUUUCGGCGGUUGGGGAUGGACUCGCGGCUUAUCAGCUUGUUGGCGGGGUAGUGGCUUACCAAGGCUUUGACGGGUAGCCGGCCUGAGAGGGUGACCGGCCACAUUGGGACUGAGAUACGGCCCAG
rnacentral:rRNA from 1 species